UCCGGAGGAUCGGCAGUAUGGCCGGAGCAGCCGAAGCGAGCUGGUCAUCGGGAGCGAUGUCGGUGGUAGCGCGUACAUCGGGCUAAGGAUCAAUACGCAGUUACUGUCGUUCUGUUUUGUGGAAGUUUCUCCGAUCGCGUUUUAAACGUGCCUAGAAGAAAAAUCGUACGAAUCUUUUACAUGUGAGCUUGGUGUCCAGUUCUGGUUUAUUGUUAGUGAUAACUCGGGAAGUAGUGUUCAGUUUGAUCUACAUAUUUGCAAAAAGUGCUUAACAAUCAGUAGCUACAGAAAGACCUAUAUCAUUCGGAGUUUCGUGAAUUCCGUAACUCGAAAAUUUUUCCAUAAGCGGUGGUGCGCAGUGUCUUUGUAUCGUGACCAUCACGUGUCGAUGCUCCCGAGCGGUCCGCAAUUCGUCUAAACGAAUUCGAGGCUUUCAAUUGGUCAACUUCACCGCAGUACUUAUUCAACUUCCGACCACGAAGGGCAGGAGUUACAUGGCAUCGCACAAUUCGUUUACAGGUACUCUGAGAUGCUGUCGCCGCAGUUAUGACCCCCUGGACUUCCCCUGUUCAUCAGGGGGAGUCCAGGGACCCGUCCCCUGGGACUGCGCGGCCUCCCACCGCCCCCGGGGUCCCAGGGGACCCAGUCCCCGAGG